GAACGGGUGCGUAACACAUGAGUCAUCUGCCCAGAAGUGGGGAAUAGCUCGGCGAAAGCCGGAUUAAUACCGCAUGUGGUCGUAAGACCAAAGCCGGGGCAACCUGGCGCUUUUGGAGGAGCUCGUGGCCUAUCAGCUAGUUGGUGAGGUAACGGCUUACCAAGGCAACGACGGGUAGCUGGUCUGAGAGGACGACCAGCCACACUGGAACUGAGAUACGGUCCAGACACCUACGGGUGGCAGCAGUCGAGAAUUUUUCUCAAUGGGGGAAACCCUGAAGGAGCGACGCCGCGUGGAGGAUGAAUGCUUUCGGGUUGUAAACUCCCUGUCAUUUGGGAACAAGGCCUUACGUUAACUGCGUGGAGGAUUGAUAGUACCAGAAGAGGAAGAGACGGCUAACUCUGUGCCAGCAGCCGCGGUAAUACAGAGGUCUCGAGCGUNGUUCGGAUUCAUUGGGCGUAAAGGGCGCG
rnacentral:rRNA from 1 species